rnacentral:rRNA from 1 species
UACGGAGGGGGCUAGCGUUGUUCGGAAUUACUGGGCGUAAAGCGCACGUAGGCGGCUUUGUAAGUUAGAGGUGAAAGCCCGGAGCUCAACUCCGGAAUUGCCUUUAAGACUGCAUCGCUCGAAUCAUGGAGAGGUGAGUGGAAUUCCGAGUGUAGAGGUGAAAUGCGUAGAUAUCGGGAGGAACACCAGUGGCGAAGGCGAUCUUCUGGACGGAUACUGACGCUGAGGCGCGAAAGCUAGGGGAGCAAACGGG